GUCGGCGAGCCGUGGCGGCGAAGCGGUCUCCAAAACCGUAUUCCGGGGGUUCGAUUCCUUCCGUCGAUG
rnacentral:tRNA from 1 species